rnacentral:ncRNA from 1 species
UGAUAGCUGUGAAGCGUGAAGUUGCUGCCGACAGGGCAGGUUCUCCGUGGAGCGAAUGUCAAGUUAGAAACUGGCGACAA